AUUGAACGCUGGCGGCAGGCCUAACACAUGCAAGUCGAGCGGAUGAAGGGAGCUUGCUCCUGGAUUCAGCGGCGGACGGGUGAGUAAUGCCUAGGAAUCUGCCUGGUAGUGGGGGAUAACGUCCGGAAACGGGCGCUAAUACCGCAUACGUCCUGAGGGAGAAAGUGGGGGAUCUUCGGACCUCACGCUAUCAGAUGAGCCUAGGUCGGAUUAGCUAGUUGGUGGGGUAAAGGCCUACCAAGGCGACGAUCCGUAACUGGUCUGAGAGGAUGAUCAGUCACACUGGAACUGAGACACGGUCCAGACUCCUACGGGAGGCAGCAGUGGGGAAUAUUGGACAAUGGGCGAAAGCCUGAUCCAGCCAUGCCGCGUGUGUGAAGAAGGUCUUCGGAUUGUAAAACACUUUUAGUUGGGAGGAAGAGCAGUAAGUUUAUACCUUGCUGUUUUGACGGUACCAACAGAAUAAGCACCGGCUAACUUCGUG
rnacentral:rRNA from 1 species